CCUACGGGAGGCUGCAGUGGGGAAUAUUGCACAAUGGGGGAAACCCUGAUGCAGCGACGCCGCGUGAGUGAAGAAGUAUUUCGGUAUGUAAAGCUCUAUCAGCAGGAACGAGACAAGACGGUACCUGACUAAGAAGCCCCGGCUAACUACGUGCCAGCAGCCGCGGUAAUACGUAGGGGGCAAGCGUUAUCCGGAAUCACUGGGUGUAAAGGGAGCGUAGACGGCUGUGCAAGCCUGAAGUGAAAGGCGGGGGCCCAACCCCUGGACUGCUUUGGGAACUGUGCGGCUGGAGUGCAGGAGAGGUGAGUGGAAUUCCUAGUGUAGCGGUGAAAUGCGUAGAUAUUAGGAGGAACACCAGUGGCGAAGGCGGCUUACUGGACUGUAACUGACGUUGAGGCUCGAAAGCGUGGGUAGCAAACAGGAUUAGAUACCCCUGUAGUC
rnacentral:rRNA from 1 species